AUACAUGCAGUCGAGCGGCAAGUCGAGGAGUAAUCUAAGACCUAGAGCGGCGCACGGGCGCGUAACGCGUAUGCAACCUACCUCAUACAGGGGGAUAGCCCGGAGAAAUCUGGAUUAAUACCCCAAGGUACUGCGAAGAGGCAUUUCUUUGUAGUUAAAGAUUCAUCGGUAUGAGAUGGGCAUGCGUCUGAUUAGCUAGUUGGCGGUGUAACGGACCACCAAGGCGACGAUCAGUAGGGGUUCUGAGAGGAAGGUCCCCCACACUGGCACUGAGAUACGGGCCAGACUCCUACGGGAGGCAGCAGUAGGGAAUAUUGGGCAAUGGACGAGAGUCUGACCCAGCCAUGCCGCGUGCAGGAAGACGGCGUUCUGCGUUGUAAACUGCUUUUAUCUGGGAAGAAAAGGCCCAUGCGUGGGACAUUGCCGGUACCAGAUGAAUAAGCACCGGCUAACUCCGUGCCAGCAGCCGCGGUAAUACGGAGGGUGCAAGCGUUGUCCGGAUUUAUUGGGUUUAAAGGGUGCGUAGGCGGCUAUUUAAGUCAGCGGUGAAAGACAUCGGCUCAACCGAUGCAGUGCCAUUGAUACUGGAUAGCUUGAGUGUUGGAGGGGUACAUGGAAUUGAUGGUGUAGCGGUGAAGUGCAUAGAUACCAUCAGGAACACCGAUAGCGAAAGCAUUGUACUGGCCAACAACUGACGCUGAGGCACGAAAGCAUGGGGAGCGAACAGGAUUAGAUA
rnacentral:rRNA from 1 species